AAUAAUGAAUAUUUUUGGGUUGUUGGCAAGAUGAUGAAUUGAAGCUAAUUAGUCUCUCUGUCACACUUUUCUCUCAAGUUUCUCACUGAAGAACACAAUUUCAAACAGAUUUUGUUGGAGUAGGUUUUAUCAGUGUUCAAGUUUCUUGGUGAAGAUCGUUUCCCUGCUCGUCCCGUUCCAGUUCACUUCCUGAAGAAAGACCUCACUCGAAGAGCUGAAGGACGGAAGCUGGAGAACUGAUUUCAUC